GACGAACGCUGGCGGCGUGCUUAACACAUGCAAGUCGAGCGGUAAGGCCCUUUCGGGGGUACGCGAGCGGCGAACGGGUGAGUAACACGUGGGUGACCUGCCCUCAGCUCUGGGAUAAGCCUGGGAAACUGGGUCUAAUACUGGAUAUGACUCCACGGUGCAUGUCGUGGGGUGGAAAGCCUUGUGCGGCUGAGGAUGGGCCCGCGGCCUAUCAGCUUGUUGGUGGGGUGAUGGCCUACCAAGGCGACGACGGGUAGCCGGCCUGAGAGGGCGACCGGCCACACUGGGACUGAGACACGGCCCAGACUCCUACGGGAGGCAGCAGUGGGGAAUCUUGCGCAAUGGGCGAAAGCCUGACGCAGCGACGCCGCGUGAGGGAUGACGGCCUCGG
rnacentral:rRNA from 1 species